GACGAACGCUGGCGGCGUGCUUAACACAUGCAAGUCGAACGAAGAGCGAUGGACGCUUGCUUCUAUCAAUCUUAGUGGCGAACAGGUGAGUAACGCGUAAUCAACCUGCCCUUCAGAGGGGGACAACAGUUGGAAACGACUGCUAAUACCGCAUACGAUCUAAUCUCGGCAUCGAGGAUAGAUGAAAGGUGGCCUCUACAUGUAAGCUAUCACUGAAGGAGGGGAUUGCGUCUGAUUAGCUAGUUGGAGGGGUAACGGCCCACCAAGGCGAUGAUCAGUAGCCGGUCUGAGAGGAUGAACGGCCACAUUGGGACUGAGACACGGCCCAGACUCCUACGGGAGGCAGCAGUGGGGAAUCUUCCGCAAUGGACGAAAGUCUGACGGAGCAACGCCGCGUGAGCGAUGACGGCCUUCGGGUUGUAAAGCUCUGUUAAUCGGGACGAAAGGCCUUCUUGCGAAUAGUGAGAAGGAUUGACGGUACCGGAAUAGAAAGCCACGGCUAACUACGUG
rnacentral:rRNA from 1 species